GUGGUGCCCUAUUUUGCGACCAUGUAGCUUCAUACGUGUCUCCUAUUUAUCCACGUUAUUAUCUAGCUACAUUCUCUCAGCUUCUCUAUCUUGUAAAUAUGGUUUCUUUCAAUAAAUUUGGAUGACCAUGGUUUCCUAAUCGGAAAAACUAAUAGAUCCUAUUAUCUCGUCCAAGAUCUUGUCCAUUAGAUCAUAAUUUUUUUUUAGAAAAAAGAAGUAAAAUAAAAGCAUGCUUGAAAGAGAAAG
rnacentral:lncRNA from 1 species